rnacentral:rRNA from 1 species
UACGUAGGGUGCGAGCGUUAAUCGGAAUUACUGGGCGUAAAGCGUGCGCAGGCGGUUUGUUAAGACAGAUGUGAAAUCCCCGGGCUUAACCUGGGAACUGCAUUUGUGACUGGCAAGCUAGAGUAUGGCAGAGGGGGGGUAGAAUUCCACGUGUAGCAGUGAAAUGCGUAGAGAUGUGGAGGAAUACCGAUGGCGAAGGCAGCCCCCCUGGGAUAACACUGACGCUCAUG